rnacentral:rRNA from 6 species
UUUGACCUCAAAUCAGGUAGGACUACCCGCUGAACU